rnacentral:rRNA from 1 species
UACGGGGGGAGCAAACGUUGUUCGGAAUCACUGGGCGUAAAGGGCGUGUAGGCGGCUGAAUAAGUGGGAUGUUAAAUCCCCCGGCUCAACCGGGGACCUGCAUCUCAUACUGUUCAGCUCGAGCACAUCAGAGGAGACUGGAAUUCCCGGUGUAGCGGUGAAAUGCGCAGAUAUCGGGAGGAACACCGGUGGCGAAGGCGGGUCUCUGGACAGUUCCUGACGCUGAGGCACGAAGGCCAGGGGAGCAAACGGG